rnacentral:rRNA from 1 species
GGAAAAGAAACCAACAGGGAUUGCCUCAGUAACGGCGAGUGAAGCGGCUACAGCUCAAAUUUGAAAUCUGGCCUCCUUUGGGGGUCCGAGUUGUAAUUUGCAGAGGAUGCUUUGGCAUUGGCGGCGGUCUAAGUUCCUUGGAACAGGACAUCGCAGAGGGUGAGAAUCCCGUACGUGGGCGCCUGCCUUUGCCGUGUAAAGCUCCUUCGACGAGUCGAGUUGUUUGGGAAUGCAGCUCUAAAUGGGAGGUAAAUUUCUCCUAAAGCUAAAUACCGGCCAGAGACCGAUAGCGCACAAGUAGAGUGAUCGAAAGAUGAAAAGUACUUUGGAAAGAGAGUCAAAUAGCACGUGAAAUUGUUGAAAGGGAAGCGCUUGCAGCCAGACUUGCCCGCAGUUGCUCACCUAGGCUUUCGCCUGGGGCACUCUUCUGCGGGCAGGCCAGCAUCAGUUUGGGCGGUCGGAUAAAGGCCUCUGUCAUGUACCACCCCUCGGGGUGGCCUUAUAGGGGAGGCGUAAUGCGACCAGCCCGGACUGAGGUCCGCGCAUCUGCUAGGAUGCUGGCGUAAUGGCUGUAAGCGGCCCGUCUUGAAACACGGACCAAGGAGUCUAACAUCUAUGCGAGUGUUUGGGUGUCAAGCCCGGGCGCGCAAUGAAAGUGAACGGAGGUGGGAACCCCUCGGGGUGCACCAUCGACCGAUCCUGAAGUCUUCGGAUGGAUUUGAGUAAGAGCAUAGCUGUUGGGACCCGAAAGAUGGUGAACUAUGCUUGAAUAGGGUGAAGCCAGAGGAAACUCUGGUGGAGGCUCGCAGCGGUUCUGACGUGCAAAUCGAUCGUCAAAUUUGGGCAUAGGGGCGAAAG